AAGGGAACUGCUAAACAAAGGCGCAGGAUAAGUAUACAAAAAUGGAAACAGAAAUUAAGAGACCAGAUUUAAAUUUAUAUUAUACCAAAGAAGCUCAGAAAAACCAUAAACAUUCGUACUUCACUUUAGGUAUUUGAUCUGAUUUCUGUGGUGUAGCUUCAGCUUAUAACUAGGAUAUUUUCCCCACAUAAGCCAGUCUCAAAUUGUAAAUGAAUCUCUCUAAUCUGGACCUCUUAUUAAGUAUACCUAUUAAAGCAUAAGCCCAGAUGCCCGCUAGAGGAUCACUUACUCUAUCAGCUCCUACCAACUAAAAUAAGUAAGAAAUGUCGAAGCAGUGACCAAAGGAGUUUAAUACCAAAACAUGUCCACUAAAAUAGUGUUUUCAGCUCCUUUUGGCCCCCAGUUUAUGACCCCCAAAUGGAUGCAAAAUAUCCUCAGAACCCCCAAGUCUGUAUAGUAGAGAGAACAUUUUGGUUAAUCAUUGUUCAGUUUGUCUCGGUUUAACUUUAACAUUAUUACAUUAGUCCUUCCAACAAGCCAGUUCUCAUUUAUUUUUUAUGGGAAAGUGUGGGUAUUGGAACCAGCAAGCUUGAGGUUAUUGCUGAAGGCCUCUACAGCCAGUUCUUAGUUCCAUAAUUAUUAUUUCCUAUUAAACAAAAGUAUAUUUUGUUGAUCCUGUGAACCAAACAAACCAGAAUUCUGUCAAAUUUAAUUAAUUUUAAAGAAUAUGAGCAACCAAGUCUAGUCAUUCUUGGGGGAUCACAGGACCCAACUACUCAAAGAAAGAAGAGAAGGUCCUUAUAUACUUAAUAUUUUUUUAGCGGCAGUUUUAGAUCUACGGAAACUGUCCUCUCUUUUGAAUCACAUGUGGAAUCAAUAUAUUCUUAACAUUAAAUCUUGAAAUAAGUUGUUAAGAGCCUA
rnacentral:lncRNA from 1 species